ACCGAGAUUCGUGCGCACCAGUGAUCUCCAAAACCACAGCAAAACGGGGAAACACAUUCGAAAUGCUGCUCCGUUCUCCAGUUGUCGAGCAGGGAGGAAGAGAGAAAAGGGAAGAGAAAGCCUCAAGACAAAGCAACAGGUUAGUUUGUCCGUCAGUGAAUUGGUCUACACCUUCACAGAGCUAUAUUUUAUUUAUGAUAAUAUACUGUAUCUAAUUACACAAGGCCAUUUUAGGACCUAGGUGAAAUAACUGUUUAGGGAAAACUGCUUUUAAUGCUGGCAUACUAACCAUUUGUUGUUACUUUGUAGAUAUUACAAUACAUUUGGAAAUGAUAGCAAUGUUGUUGGACUUUAAAAGCAGUGUAUAUGGUUUGGCACAGGCAUAUUUUGAGUUCUGAUAUUGGGCUUGUUUUUUGGGCUUGUUUUAUUGGCCAUUGGGCUGGUUUGGGCUGGUUUUGAUUGGCCAUUGGGCUGGUUUUGUCACAUAGACCUGGCAACCCUGGUCUGCCUUCAAGUGCGCAGUGAAUUUCAUCGGCGUCAGUCCACUAUCGAUUCCUUUGUCCUUUACACCGACCCGCACCACAGUCUUCAAGGUACUAUCACGUUAAGCAAUUUAGUGAGUGUUAAGUAUUUAGUGAGAGAAAAAUGGAUAGAAGACAAGUGAGAAAGCGAGCAGUAAAAAGAAUCCGAGCCAUGAUGGCAUCUUUUCAGAGUGAAGGAGAUGUUGAGGCUGCAGAGGUUAUGACUCAGGUUUAUCAAUCUGAAGCAGAAUCAGACUCGGAUGGCCAGACAGGUGACGUGAAUAUCAAUGCUUGUGAGGGUUUACAGGUCUAUCAGUCUGAUGAUGGAGAAUCAGAUGCAGAUGGCCAAUCAUAUGUCUUGGAUGAGAAUACUUCUGAUAAUUCCUUAAAUAGUUCUUUGUGUGACUGGGCUGUGAACUUUAAUGUCUCUUUGGUUGCUCUGACUGCACUCCUGACUAUCUUGAGGAUGUAUCAUCCUUUUCUCCCCAAGGAUGCUAGAACGCUUCUCACAACCAAAACUGUCUAUAAGGUUCAAAGUUUAGGUGGUGGCAAAUACUUUUACUUUGGAAUACUAGAAUCACUUAGUAAAACCUUUGAAAGAGUUUGGUCUAAGGUUCCAGAUGGACACGUGUUUAGACUGCAGUUAAACAUAGAUGGAUUACCACUUUUCAAAAGUUCGAAAAUCCAGUUCUGGCCUAUUUUGGGUUUACUUCAGGGUCAUACAAAAGAACCAGUUAUUAUUGCCCUCUUUUGUGGGACCUCAAAGCCAUCCUCACGAAGUGACUACUUCAGAGAUCUGGUUAAUGAAAUUAAAAUACUUGGCCAGGGCUUUAUCAUAAAGGGUAAGCAUUUUCUUCUUAGGGUGAGCUCUGUUAUUUGUGAUGCUCCGGCUCGGGCUUUUGUUAAGGGAAUUAAGUCACACACUGGAUAUCUAGGAUGCGAUAAAUGCAUUCAAACAGGGGUUUGGAUCAAUCAUAGGAUGACCUUUCCAGAGGUCAAUAGUCCUUGCAGAACUGAUACAUCCUUUAUCAGUAUGUCUGACGAGGGACACCACACUGCAGUUUCCCCCUUGACAGGUUUAAAUAUUGGGAUGGUAACAUGCUUUCCACACGAUUAUAUGCAUCUAGUUUGUCUUGGUGUUAUGAGAAAACUGUUAGAUCUGUGGCACAUGUCAGGACCUGUUCGUUGUCGAAUCUCUGCUCGUCAGAGUGAACUGAUUUCAAAUGCACUAAUGUGCUUGAAAGAUUCAAUUCCAGUUGACUUUGCUCGAAAGCCAAGACAUUUAUCAGAGCGACAAAGGUGGAAGGCAACAGAGCUAAGGCAGUUUUUAUUGUACACUGGUCCUGUGGUCCUCCGUGAUGUGCUUGCAGUUCCAUUAUAUCAAAAUUGUAUGCUGCUAUCUGUGUCCAUUUUUAUCUUGUCAAGUUCAACAUUGUGUCUGGCCUUAAAUGAUUUUGCCCAUAGUCUUCUUGUGUCAUUUGUGCAACAUUAUAGUCAGUUGUAUGGUCCAGAGCAUGUUGUUUAUAAUAUUCACGGACUAACGCAUCUUUGUGAGGGUGUACGGUUACAUGGAAACCUGAACUUAAUAUCUGGUUUUCCAUUUGAGAACUACUUAGGGCAGAUCAAGAAAAUGAUAAGAACUCCACACCAUCCAUUGUCUCAGGUCAUUCGAAGACUCUCAGAAAUUAACAGUUCCGUCAGAAUUGACAAAAUGCAGGGAAAGGGGACUUUACGUAAAGAGCACAAAGAUGGCCCUGUACCAACCGGUUUCAAAAAUGUGUCACAAUUUCAAGAGGUAGUCAUAGGGCCUUCAACAAUCAACAUCUGUCGUGGGGCAGAAAACUGUGUUAAAAUAGGCAACAGCGUUGCUUUAGUGAUGAAUAUUGUUUUGUCGGAUGACAGCACGUAUAUAGUUUACAAAGAAUAUGAGCAACAGGAUCCUUUUUUUGAUUACCCCAUAAUCUCUACUGAUCUUGGGAUCUUUGUUGUCAGUAAUUUGUCAAAUGAUGUUCAAACAAAAAAACUUGAUGACAAUAUAGUAAAGUAUGCCAAGUUACCAUACAAGGGGAAAUUCAUAGCUAUUCCUCUCUUGCACACAAGUAGAUAAACGGUUGAUAAUUGGGUCAAUAGUGGAGUUGGCGUGGAAUAUUAUAUAUAGGAUCUACUACAAAACAAGGCAUCUACAGCCUUUUUAAAUGACCACAUACAGUAGUUCAAUUUGUAAAUGCUUAAACUUUAUUGCUAUUUGAGAUUUUUCAAUCCCCUUUUGUGAUUUGCUUUACAAAACUUGAUACACUGAAUAUUUAUUUUAUCUCUGGCAGAAAAUUAUGUUUAAGAUAGUCGAGUUUUUGGAGACCAGGGAGGUAGAGUUCGUGCCAGGUGCUUGGGUAAAGGACAAUGAAUGCCUGUGGCCAGCGCUCAAAGGAAAGGCCUUGGAGACGGCAAUAAAACUAAAGGUCAAUCCUGAACCAAGCUGCAUGCCAUGGACUGUUCGACAGAUGUUUACAACUGAUAAUUAUCAGGAAGGCAGACGGAAGUUGCGGGAAGCUGAAGAGCGAUCAGACCUUCAGUCGGAUGCUGAAGACUGCAGUGGAAGGGGGGCAAGGCGAAAAAUACCAAGUAGGCGGCUUCAACAAACUGCCGACAGCUAUCUGGCGGAUAGUGAGGAUGAGUCAGGACUACAGCAGCGAAAUAAUGGUUUACCUGAUGCUCCACCAAUGAGCCCACCAAAAACACUGACAACGCUCCACUGUAAGACCUCUCAUCAAACCCAUGCUGGCCUAAACCAAAACGAACUGGAAGAUGAGAUGUGCCAGUCUGCCUGCUCUCCUUACUGGCAUGCAGAAGACCAGAGAAACAGCUUGCAGGCUUCACAUCAUAAUCAGUGGCUUCAACAGUUUGAAUCUUUUCAGGAGCCUCAAAAGCUUGAAACUCAAAGGACCCUGCAAAGGCCACAAGACAGUGCAGCAGUUGUGAGUCACAAGGAUUCACUUGCAGCUGUCCAGGUUCCUCAGAAAACAUCCAGUUCAUGGACCCUGCGAAGGCCACAAAACAAUGGGAGCUGCCACGAGACACCCACAUCAAGAGUUGGUGAGAAUUCUGAUCAUCCAGGGCCUCAGCCAGUGCCUGUGCCAUCCUGGAGUCCUCAGGCCCCAUUUGAAACUACAACCUCAUUAAUGCGGGAAAUGCUUACGAAGCAGGAGAUGAUUCUCGAGCAACAAACACGCAUCCUACAGAUUCUACAUGCAAGAAAACAAGAUGCGUCUCAAUUUGAAAUAGAUGAGGGUCUCCUGCCAGUAAGGGACCAGCAAGGCCUCCAACGUCUUGAAAGCCAACUUCAGGAAUCUGACUUUCGAUCAAAACUGAUAAACCAUCUCAGCCUGAUUGGCGGAAGUGAUGUCAAGGAUACGGUUUGGCGUCUCAUGAAGCACACAAUCUCAAACACCCUGGCAAAGGAAACCAAUUGGAGAGGAGUAAAUGGGAAAACAUCCAUGGCUUCCCUGCAACUGAAGACAGCUGUAAUCGCUGCCGUACGGAAGAACCCACUGACAUCGAGGGCUUCUGAACGUGAGGUGGAGAUGUUCAUGAAGAGGUGGAGAUGUUCAUGAAGAGGUGGCUACAGCUGGCAGCGGACAGAGAAGGGGGCAGAAGAAGGCGAGCCCAAAUCCCUUCAGCUCCCUGAACUUGUUGAUUAUUGUUAUAUUGAUUGUUAAGCUCUUCAAUACAUUGUUUUAUAAAUAAUUUUAGCUCCAUGAACUUGUUGGUUAUUGUUAUAUAUUAUAUUGAUUGUUAAGCUCUUCAAUACAUCGUUUUAUAAAUAAUUUUAGCUCCAUGAACUUGUUGGUUAUUGUUAUAUGUUCUAUUGAUUGUUAAGCUCUUCAAUACAUUGUUUUAUAAAUAAUUUUAGCUCCAUGAACUUGUUGGUUAUUGUUAUAUAUUAUAUUGAUUGUUAAGCUCUUCAAUACAUUGUUUUAUAAAUAAUUUUAGCUCCAUGAACUUGUUGGUUAUUGUUAUAUGUUAUAUUGAUUGUUAAGCUCUUCAAUACAUCGUUUUAUAAAUAAUUUUAGCUCCAUG